rnacentral:sRNA from 1 species
AAAUUAUUUAUAUUGGCGAGUUUUGCCAGACGGCGCAAAGUGCGAAGUCAAAAAGAGCCGGCCUUUACGUCGCUGUUAAUUACCCUUCACGUCUUUCACGAUCACAAUCUAUUUUUAAAAAAAUGUCUUGGAAAAUAAUAUUCUCUUAGAACAUUGAGUGUGCAUUCACUAAUGAAGCAUUUCUAGUUUUGUUUUUAAAUUUAUCCCUAUGAACAAAGGAUCUGCCGACCCUAAACUUGUUUUGUAUUACUUGUUGCCUAACGUCCAUUUCUUGAGGUCGGGGUUUCUUUUUCACUUGAUGUCAUCGAUCAUACUUGUCAGAAUAUUGUCGGUGUUGUUAGACAAUCUUUUCACAAAAUUGAUAUCCAGGCGAUUUUUGUAAUUUUUGUUACUUUAAAAUCGGCUUAAAGAGGUUCGUUCCUUAGGUUUUGGGUAGCCAUUUUGGCUCACCUCUUGUCUGAAAACUCUGCAUCACAUGUUAAUUCUAGUAGUAUACAUGUAUUUAUAUUUUAUAAUGCCAAAAAAAAAAUCCAUUGAAUAAAAUUGUUAAAAAAAAAUACAUUUUUACAGAGUUUCGUAAGGGACUAUAUUUUGUGGCAGAAGGUUUUCAAGAAGGAAAUAAACAAUUUUCAUAAUUCACUAGUUUUAGAGUACUGUUACUUUAAGUUUAGCUUCCUAAUUUUCAGCGCAGACCAAACUUUUAGAUAGUUUGUGUGUUACGAUAUAUUCAUGAUGUUCUAAAAGACAUAUUUAAACUAUAUUUGAUAUUUCUAUCGGUAUAUUUUGGCACAUUUAGCUAAUAUUUCAUAGAGGUUAAGAAAACUCCAAUUUAAAAUUAGCUUAUUUCAUGCUAUAUCUCAAAUUUUUGAGAUGUGACCCCUACUUGUUUUACUUUAAAAUGAGAUAUUAGUUGUAAGUCCAUUUGUAUGCAAAGUUUUGAAAAUAUGACAUUACAAUAUUUUUUUUUAUUUGCGUUAUAAUUUGAUAACUUCAAAAUUUUGUAACCUAUGUUGUUGUGUUCAUUAUGUACUGGCCUUUGAAGCCACCAGUAAAGCAAGAUUUUUUAAACUU